ACCCGGCAACAUACCAGUGAGUGGGCAUUGCUUUCUAUAUAUAUACCUAUAUACCCGAUUUCCCCAGAAAUCAAUUUAAAUGAAAAGUAUGUUGAAUUGUGAUAUGGAAUAUAGUUUGGGUUGCCAUGCUUAGAAUAUCAUGAAUAUUAUGAAUUGUUGUAUGAUGCAUAUAUGUGAAAUGGUGCGGUGGACGCACAGGUGAGUAUCAGGUGAGUAUUAUUACUGUUAUGAUGAUGUUGAGAUAUGUUGAGCUCAUAAACUGCACCUUGGUAUUAGUGCUUAUAUUAUUCACCCUGCAUCGUAUGCUCACCUUGGAUCCAAGUAGAUGCUAGUCGUACAGACCACCGGGGGUGGUUCCGACAUGCCAGUCGUACAGACCAUUAGAGGGGUUCCGACUGGUAGGUGACCUUAGAUUAUGUGCACAAAUGAUUGAUGAGAAAAGCACUAGAGCAUAUUAUUACACCAUUAAGUCGUACAGAUUACAUUAGGUAAUUCCGACUUAUGUGCAGUGUAGUGCCGUACAGGUCAUACUAGGUGACUCCGGCAUGGCCGUACAGGUCACAGUUGGUGACUCCGGUUAGAUGAGAUUUUGAGCUCUACAUUCAGUCGUACAGGACCAUUGUAGGGUCUCCGGUUGAUUUAUUCUUUCACCUGAUUUAUGUUAAUGCAUUCAUACUAAACUGUUGAAUUGAACAUGGCACGUUUUCUAUUGAAUAUGUUAUGAGAUUGAUGAUUGAGAUGGUUGAGAUAUAUAUAUGCUUAUAUACUAUUUUUCUGGGAAAGUAUACAGGUUUUCAAAGAGGGGUUAUAAAUGUGGAGUUAUGAAAUGUUUUGGAAAAGCUUUAUUUUCGCCCACUCACGUUUUCUGUUUUGCGCCCCUCCAGGUUCUAGUUGAGGUGUUGGUGGCCUACGAGGACUUCUUCGGCGUUCUGACAGACUAAAUAAAUGUAGGAUUCACCCGAGGGUGUUGUAAAUUAGUUAUGGUCCUACUUGACUGCACCUAGACGCUUGUGCUCUGUUUAUGUGUGUUUAGUGCACUAUAAUGCACAUAGAAUGAUAGGUUGUUAAUAACUGCAAUUAGUGGUUUUUUUUUUGUUAGUAUUUUUGUUAUAUUAUCGUUUCCGCCUGCACUUAUGGUUACGCCACGCUCACGUGACAGCCAGCAUGUCCUAAUUUUCGGGUUAGGGUGUGUCAGUUUGGUAUCAGAGCAUAGGUUGCAGUCCUGUAUAACUAAUGAGUUCUUCUAUUGAUUUUUGAUGUUUUCUGUCAGAAUUAUGCCGCCUCGUAGAGAUCCUCGCCGUGCUACUGAACCUAAUGUCCCCGAUAUAGUUCAGUUAGGGGAAGCAAUAACUCAGGCUUUUCAGGCUAGUAUCCGUCCUCCUCAGAGAACACCUGUAGAGACGAUGCAUAAUCUGAAAUUGGAAACCUUUGAGGGAAAUGAAGGUUAUGAGGGGGCAGAAAAGUGGUUGGAUCGGAUUGAGCAGACUUUUCAAGUGAUGAGGAGUCAAGGGAACCUACCUGAGAAUAGAUGGGUCGAGACUACCAUUUGGUUUUUAAGCCGAGAGGUUGCAGUUUGGUGGAGAAAUGAAACUAAUUUUCUUGCACCUGAGAUGGUACAAGAUUGGGGCAUAUUCAAGGGAAUAUUUAGGAAAAGAUUCGUUCCCCCAGAGUACAUUGAUAGUAAGAAGCAGGAGUUCACCCAAUUGAAGCAAAGGAAGAUGUCGGCAUGUGAAUACUACAGGAAGUUUACAGAUUUGUCUCGUUAUGAUCCGGAUGUGGCUGCUAAUCCAGAGGAAAUGCUUCGUCGAUUUAAGUUGGGAUCGAAGAAGAGAUGGCGAACCUUUGCUAGCGCACUUCCUUGUGCUAAUUAUCAUGAGUUUUCUGAAAUUAUGGUUCGGAUGGAGGAGUCCGAGAAACUUCCUAGUGAUAGUGAUGAAGAGGAAGAUAAGAAUGAUGGCAACCAGAGGAAUGAAGGCAAGGGUAAAGGUAUCUCCUUCCAAGGACCCCGUAAGACGCAGAAUUUCAAAAAGAGUGGAAUGAGUUCGAGUUCUUCCAGUGGUGGAUUUAGUACCACAGGUCCGAGGAGAGGAGGUGGUAGGUUUGGUAGUGGACCUAGAUUUCCUAGUCAGAGAAGUUUUAUUGGUACUGGUGGUUCUGGUCCUCCGUUAUGUAGCCGUUGUAAUUUUCGACAUCAUGGGGAAUGUAGGAGAAUCAGUGGUGCAUGCUUUACAUGUGGUCAGGUAGGACAUCGAGCUGCACAUUGUCCCCAAAGUCAGCAGAGGCCCCAGCAGCCUGUUAUGCCAGCUCCAGCACCGACUCAGCAGAACUUAAAUUCAGGCAGUUAUGGCCAGUUUGGUCGUGGUGGUGCUUAUCACUAUCAGGGUGAUGCUGCUCCUUAUGCUCCGGGACAGUAUCAAUAUUCCCAGGAUCCUUAUUUUCAGAGUGGAUAUUCUCAGGAUCAGGGAGGUUAUACUUCAUAUCCGUCUAUGCCAGCUAGCGGAUCUCAGUGGUAUUAGGGGGGUCGGCCUCAACAGAGAGGGGUUGCUGCUAGUAGUGCAGGGCCGUCUAGGCAGCCUGCCCAGGCAGGUCAAGGACGUACUCAUCAGGGGCGAGGUAAUCAGAGUGGCAGAGGUCGUGGAGGACGACAGCCAGCUCAGGGAAGUGUUAACCACAUAUCACUGCAAGAUGCUCAGAACCAUCCAGACUUGAUUAUGGGUACGUUGAAUGUUCUUGGUCAUUUUGCUAGGGUUUUGAUUGAUUGUGGUGCUACGCAUUCUGUGAUUUCUCAUACAUUUGCUCAAAUGACACAACCUCAUCUUUCGCCUCUAGGGUUUGAUUUAGAAUUUGUUAUGCCUAGAGGGGAUAAAUGUUAUGUUGAUAGUUUUUAUCCUGGGUGUCCAGUGAUGGUAGAUAAUGUAGUUAUGCCUGCUAAUCUCAUCCCGUUAGACACCGUGGAUUUUGAUGUGAUUUUAGGGGCGGAUUGGUUGCAUUAUAAUCGCGCCCAUAUAGAUUGUUACGGGAAAUCAGUUACUUUUCUUCGUCCUGGACUACCUGAGGUUACUUUUGUGGGUGAAAGAAGUGGGGUGAGGCAUGGUGUUAUUUCAGCCAUAAGGGCGAAGAAAUUGUUAUCCAAGGGUUGUCAGGGAUACUUGGCACAUGUGGUUUUGAAUGAUGUUGCUCCCAGUAGUGUGAAGGAAGUCGGAGUAGUCAGACACUAUCCUGAUGUAUUUCCAGAUGAUUUGCCUGGAUUGCCCCCAGAUAGAGAUGUGGAGUUUUCGAUUGAAUUGCUUCCAGGUACAAACCCUAUAUCAUUGACUCCUUAUAGAAUGGCACCAACGGAAUUAAGAGAGUUGAAAAUUCAAUUGCAAGAGUUAAUUGAUAAAGGUUUCAUUCAGCCUAGUUCUUCACCUUGAGGAGCUCCGGUGUUGUUUGUGAGAAAGAAGGAUGGAACUUUGAGAUUGUGUAUUGAUUACAGGCAAUUGAAUCGGGUAACGAUUAAAAACCGUUAUCCCUUGCCUCGUAUAGAUGAUUUGUUUGAUCAGCUCAAAGGUGCCUGUGUGUUUUCUAAGAUCGAUUUGAGAUCUGGGUAUUAUCAAUUAAAGAUUAAAGAUGUGGAUGUUCAUAAAACGGCUUUCAGGACUCGUUAUGGGCAUUAUGAGUUUUUGGUGAUGCCAUUUGGAUUGACUAAUGCCCCUGCAGCUUUCAUGAGAUUGAUGAAUGAAGUAUUCCAGGAAUAUUUAGACAAGUUUGUUAUUGUUUUUAUUGAUGAUAUCCUGGUAUACUCUAAGUCGAAAUCAGACCAUAUUCGACAUCUUAACUUGGUGUUAAGGAAAUUGAGGGAGCACCGGUUAUAUGCCAAGUUUAGUAAAUGUCAGUUUUGGCUGAAUCAAGUGGCAUUUUUGGGACAUGUGGUAUCAGCUCAGGGAAUUCAAGUGGAUCCUCAAAAGAUAGCAGCAGUGGAAAGUUGGGAACAACCUCGAACCGUCACUGAGGUGCGGAGUUUUCUUGGCUUGGCAGGUUAUUAUCGACGGUUUGUUCAAGACUUUUCUAUGAUUGCCUUGCCAUUAACGAAGUUAACCAGGAAGGAGGUUAAGUUUGAGUGGGAUGAUAGUUGUGAGCAAAGUUUCCAGCAGUUGAAGUAUUGCCUUACUCAUGCACCUGUGUUAAUACUUCAUGAUGAUAAUGGUAACUUCGAGAUCUACAGUGAUGCUUCUUUGAAUGGUUUAGGUUGUGUUUUGAUGCAGCAUAGUAAAGUGAUUGCCUAUGCUUCUAGGCAGUUGAAGACUCAUGAAAAGAACUAUCAUACUCACGAUCUUGAGUUGGCAGCUAUUGUGUUUGCUUUGAAGAUUUGGAGACACUAUCUCUAUGGUGAGAAAUGUAAGAUCUUUACAGAUCAUAAAAGUCUUCAGUACCUUUUCACGCAGCAUGAUCUUAAUCUUCGUCAGAGAAGAUGGUUAGAAUUGUUAAGUGAUUAUGAUUGCACGAUUGAGUACCAUCCGGGUCGUGCAAAUGUGGUAGCUGAUGCUCUGAGUAGGAAACCUCAAGGGCGACUUAAUGCUUUGUAUGCCAGCCGUGUUUCUCUUCUUGCAGAGUUAAGAUCUAUUGGAGUAGAGUUAGAAUUGGAAGAGCAAAGUGAAGCUUUUCUUUCCAAUUUUCAAGUCAAGCCAAUUUUAAUUGAUCGGGUGCUUGCAGCUCAAUCGUGGGAUGAAGAAAUCCAAGAAUUGGUCAGUUUAAGAAAGGAAGGGAAAAAGAAAGAUCUCAGGAUCCGAGGAUCAGAUGGUAUGCUUAUGCAAGAGAACAAGAUGUAUGUGCCAAAUAAUGAGGAACUAAAGAAAGAAAUUUUGGAUGAAGCACAUUGUUCGGCUUAUGCUAUGCACCCAGGGGGAACUAAAAUGUAUCAUACCAUUCGACCAUUUUACUAUUGGCCGGGUACGAAGAGGGAAAUUGCAGAGUAUGUAAGUAGGUGUAUUGUUUGCCAGCAGGUUAAGGCUGAAAGAAAGAAGUCGUUUGGAAGAUUGCAACCAUUUCCCGUUCCCCAGUGGAAAUGGGAGAAUAUAACGAUGGAUUUUGUGUAUAAGCUGCCUAGUACACAAAAUGGUUUUGAUGGCAUUUGGGUGGUUGUAGAUCGACUUACCAAAUUAGCACAUUUUAUUCCAGUAAGGGAGAAGUACCCUUUAAAUAAGUUGGCUAAGUUAUUCACAUCGAAGGUUGUAAAGUAUCAUGGUGUCCCAGUGAAUAUUAUUUCUGAUCGAGAUCCAAGAUUUACUUCUAAGUUUUGGACAGCUUUUCAAGAAGCUUUGGGUACUAGAUUGCUUUACAGUACAGCUUAUCAUCCACAGACAGAUGGUCAGUCAGAGAGAACUAUUCAGACACUCGAGGAUAUGUUGAGAUCCUCUGUGAUGCAAUUUGGUGAUUCUUGGCAUGAUCGCUUGGAUUUGAUGGAGUUUGCCUACAAUAAUAGUUUUCAUUCGAGUAUUGGAAUGUCUCCAUUUGAAGCGCUUUAUGGUAAAGCUUGUCGUACGCCAUUAUGUUGGUCAGAGGUCGGUGAAAGAAUACUCGAGGGCCCAGAGAUUGUGGAUGAGACUACUCAGAAUAUUCAGGUAAUUAAGUCUAACCUGAAAGUGACCCAAGAUAGGCAAAAGAGCCUAGCAGAUCGACAUACCACGGAUAGAAUGUAUAAUGUGGGCGACUAUGUAUUUCUGAAAUUAUCGCCUUGGAGAGGGGUGGUUCGUUUUGGAAAGAAAGGAAAGCUAAGUCCCAGGUACAUUGGACCUUAUGAGAUCACUGAGAGGAUUGGUGAAGUUGCCUAUAGGUUGGAGCUGCCUCCAGAGUUGUCUAAGGUACAUAAUGUGUUCCAUGUCUCGAUGCUUCGGCAUUAUGUUUCAGAUCCUUCACAUGUGAUUCCUCCUCAACCUUUGGAAAUUAAUCCGGAUUUGACGUAUGAUGAGGAACCAGUGACUAUACUGGAUUGGAAAGACAAGACUCUAAGGAAUAAGACAGUGAGCUUGGUAAAAGUAUUGUGGAGGAACCAUACAGCGGAAGAAGCUACAUGGGAGACAGAAGAACGGAUGAGGGAUAUGUAUCCGAGGCUAUUUUAUGAGUAUUGAUGGUGUGGUUGGUGGCUGGAAUUUCGGGGACGAAAUUCUAUAAGGAGGGGAGAUUGUCACGGCCCGUCCCGGAAUUUUUAAUUCCGAGGACGUGAAAUUACAAAAGUGACCUUAAACGGGAUUAAGGUGCGUAAAUUCGACAUUUAGUUUUACCUAAAGUUCCUAAACUAUUGUUAAUUAGAUUAUUACCUAGUGUUAGGAACUUAAACUAAGACUUGGAUUUACAAUUGUAUGUUUUAAUUUGGUUAGUUAGAGGUUUAGGUAGGGCCUCAUGCCCUGAUUCCCUCCCCAUUUCCCGUAUUCACUCUCUCUCUCUUCCUCAGACCUUCUCUCUCUCUCUCUCUCUCUCUCUCUCACCCUCUCGAACACACGGGCAACCACCAAAACCACCUAAAAUCAACACCAACGCCGGAUUUAAAACCACCAUUGCACUCCUGAGGACUCCACGAUCACGUAGGUACCAGUUUAAGGUGAGUUUCAUUUCGAAAACCCUAGUUUCUAAAGACACCGUGAUUAUGUACUGUUCAUGAUCUUUGAAGUGGUUGUGUUUUAGGCCAAACUAAGAUCACAGUGAGCUUUAGGAAGUCCCAAGGAAGCUCGGAGUGGGUUGUUUGGAAGUUUUGGACGUCGGAAUCACUUGGUUCGACGUUUAGCCAAUUUCUCGAAAUUUUGGAAGGUAUGAUUCCGUGGUUUUUAGUGUUUAAAACCCUUCCAACGUGAUUGUACAUAUUAAAUGCUUCAAUUUGGUAUAAAAUUCGAGAAAAAUGGACGAAAAACGAGUGAGAAUAGUUAAAUAGAAAUUUUCCCAGUUUUCUGGUGACCGGAGUUCGGCGAGAGUCCAUCGGAGAAGAAACCGGAAUAUUCCGUUAGUUCUAACGGAAUAUUCCUGACGCCGUUAACGGAACUGUUAGGUUUUAACGGAAUAUUCUCGGAAUAUUCCUGACGCCGUCAGUGUGCAACGCACGUGGCUGCGUGUGGGGGGCGCGUAGGUCCGUGCCAUUUCAGGCGCGUGGGGGCGCGUGAAGGGUCCAAAAAUUAUUUUAAAAAUAUGGGGAUGAUCCUGAGGUUGUGUAGGUCACCGUGGUAUAUUCAUAUACCCAAUUUGAGCAACAUAUGAGGAGUUAUUAGCUAAGAGUUGGGUUAUGCGUUAAAUAACGUUAUUUCGGGUACUUCUUGUAUAGGUGAGACUUAUAGCGAGGAGGAGCACAUCCAGAGGCGUCAAGGGGGUUACGACCCGGCAACAUACCAGUGAGUGGGCAUUGCUUUCUAUAUAUAUACCUAUAUACCCGAUUUCCCCAGAAAUCAAUUUAAAUGAAAAGUAUGUUGAAUUGUGAUAUGGAAUAUAGUUUGGGUUGCCAUGCUUAGAAUAUCAUGAAUAUUAUGAAUUGUUGUAUGAUGCAUAUAUGUGAAAUGGUGCGGUGAACGCACAGGUGAGUAUCAGGUGAGUAUUAUUACUGUUAUGAUGAUGUUGAGAUAUGUUGAGCUCAUAAACUGCACCUUGGUAUUAGUGCUUAUAUUAUUCACCCUGCAUCGUAUGCUCACCUUGGAUCCAAGUAGAUGCUAGUCGUACAGACCACCGGGGGUGGUUCCGACAUGCCAGUCGUACAGACCAUUAGAGGGGUUCCGACUGGUAGGUGACCUUAGAUUAUGUGCACAAAUGAUUGAUGAGAAAAGCACUAGAGCAUAUUAUUACACCAUUAAGUCGUACAGAUUACAUUAGGUAAUUCCGACUUAUGUGCAGUGUAGUGCCGUACAGGUCAUACUAGGUGACUCCGGCAUGGCCGUACAGGUCACAGUUGGUGACUCCGGUUAGAUGAGAUUUUGAGCUCUACAUUCAGUCGUACAGGACCAUUGUAGGGUCUCCGGUUGAUUUAUUCUUUCACCUGAUUUAUGUUAAUGCAUUCAUACUAAACU
rnacentral:lncRNA from 1 species